rnacentral:lncRNA from 1 species
GGCACUUCUUCAUGCUGCCUUGCGAAGAAGCUGGCUUGCUUCCUCUUUGUCUUCCGCCAUGAUUGUAGAUUUCCUGAGGCCUCCCAAGCUGUGCUGAACUUAACAAUUUGGACAAGACAGCAAAUGCUAUUGUCCAAGUUUUCUAAAGAAGAAUCUGAAGUGAAAUGACAUCAAGAGACCUAUCAAGACCUGUAUCCAGGAAAAGACCAAACCAAUGCAGACCAAACCAAUGCAGAACUCCUAUGUGCUGAUGGUGGUCUUACAUUUCCCUAAGUUUCUGCCGACUAAACUGUGCACACGUUCUCAGGACCUCCUGAAGCUGCGUCACAGGCACUAAUCAAAGAACACAACCAAGAGUUUGGCCUUUUCUUCAGCACUGGGAAUUGUGAUCCAAAGCUUUUCCUGAUGAAGCACAAAGUUGGAGAAAAAAAACGCAAACUAAACAACAACAAUGAAACAGAACAGAGUGAAUCUGCUGUAGCUCAAGAGAGGACGUAGCUGCCCCCACUCCGCAUCCCCGGGCUCGGGUUUGCCUUGCUGACCUCUGCUGCCACCUGGUGCCGCACAGAGAAACUGAGGAGAAACCACAUCAGUCUCCUUCAGCCUCAGCUUCACAUCUGUGGGUCAAGUAACCCUUUCAGAAGCUGAAUAAUGUGGGAAAGCUUUCCUCUCAGGAAAAUGCACACAUCCAACUUUGAGAAGAUGCCCUUGGGGGCGCUUCAAGGAUUCUAGAUAAUAACCCCCUUUCCCGAACAUCCAAGAACCUAAGAUUUUUUUUUUUUUUUUGAGAAAGUCUCGCUCUCUCUCCCAGUCUGGAGUGCAGUGGCGUGAUCUUGGCUCACUGCCAGCUCCACCUCCCAGGUUCACGCCAUUCUCCUGCUUCAGCCUCCCUAGUAGCUGGGGCUACAGGCACCUGCCACCAAACCCGGCUAAUUUUUUUGUAUUUUUAGUAGAGACGGGGUUUCACCGUGUUAGCCAGGAUCGUCUUGAUCUCCUGACCUUGUGAUCCACCCGCCUCGGCCUCCCAAAUUGCUGGGAUUACAGAUGUGAGCCACCGCACCUGGUCCAAGAGCCCAAGUUUUAGAUCUAGAGUGAUGUCAGCAUGACAUUGAUUUCCUGAGGCCCAGGGGCGAAGGAGCUGAGGACAGCAGAGGGGUGAAGGAACUCAGCUACAGACAGCAGCAGCUGAUGCACAGGCCUCCCAGCGCCUGAAGUCACCCGGAAUUGGGAAGUGCUCAGAAGCUUACAAAGCUGCCUCGAGGAACAGUAAGAGGACCUUGUGCAUGAAUAAUUUGUUUCCACACUGCAGACAGAAGAAUCCCAGACUUCUUAGAGAACCCAGUGACUUUUUGCACCUUAAAUCUGUGAAAUCCUCAUGCUUUCUUCUGCCGUAUCCAUCGUUCAAACAAACAUGAGGCAAAGCUAGACACAUUCCUGAAGGAACCCAAGAAAUUCCUCUCUUUCUCUCUCUGGAAUGAAAUGAAUUCUCUAGACCACCAGUUCUAACCUUCAAAAACGAAACCUGUUUGUGAGAUCUCCUUCAAAUACUACUGUAGACCCCAGUGUUUAUUCAUUAAAUUUUUUAAACAUUUGUUUUA